rnacentral:rRNA from 1 species
GAUGAACGCUGGCGGCGUGCCUAAUACAUGCAAGUCGAGCGAACGGACGAGAAGCUUGCUUCUCUGAUGUUAGCGGCGGACGGGUGAGUAACACGUGGAUAACCUACCUAUAAGACUGGGAUAACUUCGGGAAACCGGAGCUAAUACCGGAUAAUAUUUUGAACCGCAUGGUUCAAAAGUGAAAGACGGUCUUGCUGUCACUUAUAGAUGGAUCCGCGCUGCAUUAGCUAGUUGGUAAGGUAACGGCUUACCAAGGCAACGAUGCAUAGGCGACCUGAGAGGGUGAUCGGCCACACUGGAACUGAGACACGGUCCAGACUCCUACGGGAGGCAGCAGUAGGGAAUCUUCCGCAAUGGGCGAAAGCCUGACGGGGCAACGCCGCGUGAGUGAUGAAGGUCUUCGGAUCGUAAAACUCUGUUAUUAGGGAAGAACAUAUGUGUAAGUAACUGUGCACAUCUUGCCGGUACCUAAUCAGAAAGCCACGGCUAACUACGU